UGCGGAGGGUGCGAGCGUUGUCCGGAUUUAUUGGGCGUAAAGAGCUCGUAGGCGGCUUGUCGCGUCGGCUGUGAAAACCCAUGGCUUAACCGUGGGCUUGCAGCCGAUACGGGCAGGCUAGAGUUCGGUAGGGGAGACUGGAAUUCCUGGUGUAGCGGUGAAAUGCGCAGAUAUCAGGAGGAACACCGGUGGCGAAGGCGGGUCUCUGGGCCGAUACUGACGCUGAGGAGCGAAAGCGUGGGGAGCGAACAGG
rnacentral:rRNA from 1 species